rnacentral:tRNA from 1 species
CUGGUACGUCGCGCGGUUGCCAUCCCGCUGCUGGUGCUGGCGGUGGUUGCCGUGGUGCUACCCGCGGUGUUGGCC